CCGUUCACGUAGUAAAUGUGACCACGCCCACCACGUACACCACACCCAAAUCAAUUAAUAAACGGGUAAAGAAGAAAGAAGCACUUGACAGCAUUUUAACUUACUUUUCUUGCUUUUUGGACAUCUUAAGAGUGAUCUAAAGCCCAGCCAUGCAUUGAGACAUCAAAUACAAUGCCAAUAAAGUCCUUUUUGUGAACUGUAAUAACAUCAUCUGUGUCAUUUACAUCCAGACAUCGCUUCUGCUUGAGUUUACAGGUCACAGGUGACACUUGGUGUUCUUUGAUUGGCUGUGAAUGACGCAAUAACUUCUAUUUCGGUAUUCUCCUCCCACACAUUUUUAUCAUCAGUCCUCUCACCUGUACAGAUAAACACAAAUCACCUGCAUGAUAACUUCGUGACUAACUUUCUCUCGGGCCUUCUCUUUUGAGUUAGUAAGUUUUAAACAAAAAUGAGUGUUUGUGUUUAUGUUGACGUCUCACGCACAUACUAGUUCCACACCUUUGUUU